rnacentral:rRNA from 1 species
UUCGCCGCCGAUGACGUCGCGAGAAGUCCACUGAACCUUAUCAUUUAGAGGAAGGAGAAGUCGUAACAAGGUUUCCGUAGGUGAACCUGCGGAAGGAUCAUUGUCGAAUCCUGCCUAGCAGAAUGACCAGAGGA